GACAACCAAGUCCUUAGGUCGA
rnacentral:siRNA from 1 species